UACGUAGGGCGCAAGCGUUGUCCGGAAUUAUUGGGCGUAAAGAGCUCGUAGGCGGUCUGUCGCGUCUGCUGUGAAAACCCGAGGCUCAACCUCGGGCCUGCAGUGGGUACGGGCAGACUAGAGUGCGGUAGGGGAGACUGGAAUUCCUGGUGUAGCGGUGGAAUGCGCAGAUAUCAGGAGGAACACCGAUGGCGAAGGCAGGUCUCUGGGCCGCAACUGACGCUGAGGAGCGAAAGCAUGGGGAGCGAACAGGAUUAGAUACCCGUGUAGUCC
rnacentral:rRNA from 1 species